GAUGAACGCUAGCGGGAGGCCUAAUACAUGCAAGUCGAACGGUAACAUGGGUAGCAAUACCUGAUGACGAGUGGCGCACGGGUGCGUAACGCGUACACAAUCUGCCUUAUACUGGGGAAUAGCCUCGAGAAAUUGAGAUUAACUCCCCAUAACGUUGCGAAACGGCAUCGUUUUGCAACUAAAACUCCGGUGGUAUAAGAUGAGUGUGCGUCCGAUUAGGUAGUUGGUGGGGUAACGGCUCACCAAGCCAACGAUCGGUAGCUGGUCUGA
rnacentral:rRNA from 1 species